CGAAGGGGGCUAGCGUUGCUCGGAAUCACUGGGCGUAAAGCGCACGUAGGCGGAUCCUUAAGUCGGGGGUGAAAUCCUGGAGCUCAACUCCAGAACUGCCUUCGAUACUGAGGAUCUCGAGUCCGGGAGAGGUGAGUGGAACUGCGAGUGUAGAGGUGAAAUUCGUAGAUAUUCGCAAGAACACCAGUGGCGAAGGCGGCUCACUGGCCCGGUACUGACGCUGAGGUGCGAAAGCGUGGGGAGCAAACAGGAUUAGAUACCCCGGUAGUCCACGCCGUAAACGAUGGAUGCUAGCCGUUGGCGGGUUUACCCGUCAGUGGCGCAGCUAACGCUUUAAGCAUCCCGCCUGGGGAGUACGGUCGCAAGAUUA
rnacentral:rRNA from 1 species